GGUGAAUACGUUCCCGGGCCUUGUACACACCGCCCGUCACACCACGAGAGUUUGUAACACCCGAAGUCGGUGGGGUAACCUUUUGGAGCCAGCCGCCUAAGGUGGGACAGAUGAUUGGGGUGAAGUCGUAACAAGGUAGCCGUAUCGGAAGGUGCGGCUGGAUCACCUCCUUUCUAAGGAA
rnacentral:rRNA from 1 species